rnacentral:rRNA from 1 species
UACGUAGGGUCCGAGCGUUGCCCGGAAUUAUUGGGCGUAAAGGGCUCGUAGGCGGUUCGUCACGUCGGGAGUGAAAACUCGGGGCUUAACCCCGAGCCUGCUUCCGAUACGGGCAGACUAGAGGUAGGCAGGGGAGAGCGGAACUCCUGGUGUAGCGGUGGAAUGCGCAGAUAUCAGGAAGAACACCGGUGGCGAAGGCGGCUCUCUGGGCCUUACCUGACGCUGAGGAGCGAAAGCGUGGGUAGCGAACAGG